UGUUUCGGCUAGGGGGCCAUCCCGGCUUACCAACCCGAUGCAAACUGCGAAUACCGGAGAAUGUUAUCACGGGAGACACACGGCGGGUGCUAACGUCCGUCGUGAAGAGGGAAACAACCCAGACCGCCAGCUAAGGUCCCAAAGUCAUGGUUAAGUGGGAAACGAUGUGGGAAGGCCCAGACAGCCAGGAUGUUGGCUUAGAAGCAGCCAUCAUUUAAAGAAAGCGUAAUAGCUCACUGGUCGAGUCGGCCUGCGCGGAAGAUGUAACGGGGCUAAACCAUGCACCGAAGCUGCGGCAGCGACGCUGAUGCGUUGUUGGGUAGGGGAGCGUUCUGUAAGCCUGUGAAGGUGGCCUGUGAGGGUUGCUGGAGGUAUCAGAAGUGCGAAUGCUGACAUAAGUAACGAUAAAGCGGGUGAAAAGCCCGCUCGCCGGAAGACCAAGGGUUCCUGUCCAACGUUAAUCGGGGCAGGGUGAGUCGACCCCUAAGGCGAGGCCGAAAGGCGUAGUCGAUGGGAAACGGGUUAAUAUUCCCGUACUUGGUGUUACUGCGAAGGGGGGACGGAGAAGGCUAUGUUGGCCGGGCGACGGUUGUCCCGGUUUAAGCGUGUAGGUGUGUGUUCCAGGUAAAUCCGGUU
rnacentral:rRNA from 4 species